UACGUAGGGCGCAAGCGUUGUCCGGAAUUAUUGGGCGUAAAGAGCUCGUAGGCGGCUUGUCACGUCGGGUGUGAAAAGCCCCGGGGCUUAACCCCGGGUCCUGCAUUCGAUACGGGCUAGCUAGAGUGUGGUAGGGGGAGAUCGGAAUUCCUGGUGUAGCGGUGAAAAUGCGUAGAUAUCUGGAGGAAUACCGGUGGCGAAG
rnacentral:rRNA from 1 species